rnacentral:rRNA from 1 species
GCUGGCGGCAGGCCUAACACAUGCAAGUCGAACGGUAACAGGAAGAAGCUUGCUUCUUUGCUGACGAGUGGCGGACGGGUGAGUAAUGUCUGGGAAACUGCCUGAUGGAGGGGGAUAACUACUGGAAACGGUAGCUAAUACCGCAUAACGUCGCAAGACCAAAGAGGGGGACCUUCGGGCCUCUUGCCAUCGGAUGUGCCCAGAUGGGAUUAGCUAGUAGGUGGGGUAACGGCUCACCUAGGCGACGAUCCCUAGCUGGUCUGAGAGGAUGACCAGCCACACUGGAACUGAGACACGGUCCAGACUCCUACGGGAGGCAGCAGUGGGGAAUAUUGCACAAUGGGCGCAAGCCUGAUGCAGCCAUGCCGCGUGUAUGAAGAAGGCCUUCGGGUUGUAAAGUACUUUCAGCGGGGAGGAAGGGAGUAAAGUUAA